GUUAUCGUCCUUCUGCGCGAUCCAGCGCGCGUCUGAUGUGAACCACGUGUUCGUCACAAUCAGGCCGAGGCGAAACACAGACCCCUUCCACGCCAGUAACCGGUCCACGUCGUUGCGCGUGGUAGGCCGCGCAACUCGAUGGUGCUUCACCUGUGCGGCCAGCAGAAAGCUGCCGACGUUCCGAGUCUUUGGAGUAGCAAUGAGAUCGAUGCCGCCAUCGCGCGUGAACACCGAGCCGGUUGUUAUCACCUCGUACCCCAUCGCAUCUAAUCGAUCUGCGAUGA
rnacentral:misc_RNA from 1 species